rnacentral:rRNA from 1 species
GACGAACGCUGGCGGCGUGCUUAACACAUGCAAGUCGAACGAUGAACCUGGAGCUUGCUCUAGGGAAUUAGUGGCGAACGGGUGAGUAACACGUUAGUAACCUGCCCUUGACUCUGGGAUAACCUCCGGAAACGGAAGCUAAUACCGGAUAUGACGCACGGAGGCAUCUCCUGUGCGUGGAAAGAACUUCGGUCAAGGAUGGACUCGCGGCCUAUCAGGUAGUUGGUGAGGUAACGGCUCACCAAGCCUACGACGGGUAGCCGGCCUGAGAGGGUGACCGGCCACACUGGGACUGAGACACGGCCCAGACUCCUACGGGAGGCAGCAGUGGGGAAUAUUGCACAAUGGGCGCAAGCCUGAUGCAGCAACGCCGCGUGAGGGACGACGGCCUUCGGGUUGUAAACCUCUUUUAGUAGGGAAGAAGCGAAAGUGACGG